rnacentral:rRNA from 1 species
CGAGCGCAACCCCUCGCAUUCAGUUGCCAUCGGGUGAAGCCGGGCACUCUGGAAGGACUGCCAUCGACAAGAUGGAGGAAGGUGGGGACGACGUCAAGUCAUCAUGGCCCUUACUGUCCAGGGCGGACACACGUGCUACAAUGGCCGGCACAACGGGAAGCGAGUUCGCGAGGACGAGCGGAUCCCUUAAAGCCGGUCGCAGUUCGGAUUGAAGUCUGCAACUCGACUUCAUGAAGCUGGAAUCGCUAGUAAUCGCAGAUCAGCCAAGCUGCGGUGAAUACGUUCCCGGGCCUU